rnacentral:lncRNA from 1 species
CAGCCCUAUUUUGGAAGGAGCUAUUCAAUUUACUAGGGAAAAAUUACAUCUCAUAUCAGGCUAUUACUUACAAAUCAAUAGCCAAAUAGAGAUGCUAAAUUAGUACUUAAAGAUUUACCUUAGGUAUAUGACUCACCUACAACACAAACAGUAGUAUAAAUGGUUGUCUCUGACAGAGUGGUGGUACAAAACCACCUUUCACACCUCCAUGCAUAUGACUUCCUUUGAAGCACUCCAU